rnacentral:rRNA from 1 species
UACGUAGGGGGCGAGCGUUGUCCGGAUUCAUUGGGCGUAAAGCGCGCGUAGGCGGCCAGAUAAGUCCGGUGUGAAAGUCAAAGGCUCAACCUUUGAAUGCCGCUGGAAACUGUCUGGCUUGAGUCCGGGAGGGGCGAGUGGAAUUCCUGGUGUAGCGGUGAAAUGCGUAGAUAUCAGGAAGAACACCCGUGGCGAAAGCGGCUCUCUGGAACGGUACUGGACGCUGAAGACGCGAAAGCCGUGGGGAGCGAACAGG